rnacentral:rRNA from 1 species
UACGUAGGGGGCAAGCGUUGUCCGGAUUUACUGGGCGUAAAGAGCGUGUAGGCGGCCAAGCAGGUCCGUUGUGAAAACUGGAGGCUUAACCUCCAGACGUCGACGGAAACCGCGUGGCUAGAGUCCGGAAGAGGAGAGUGGAAUUCCUGGUGUAGCGGUGAAAUGCGCAGAUAUCAGGAAGAACACCAAUGGCGAAGGCAGCACUCUGGGACGUGACUGACGCUGAGACGCGAAAGCGUGGGGAGCAAACAGG